rnacentral:rRNA from 1 species
UGGGGAAUAUUGCACAAUGGAGGGAACUCUGAUGCAGCGACGCCGCGUGAGUGAUGAAGGAAUUCGUUUCGUAAAACUCUGUUCUAUGGGAAGAAAAGGACUGUACCAUAGGAGAAAGCUCCGGCUAAAUACGUACCAGCAGCCGCGGUAAUACGUAUGGAGCGAGCGUUGUCCGGAAUUAUUGGGCGUAAAGGGUGCGCAGGCGGCUUUACAAGUUGGAUGUGAAAUAUUGUGGCUCAACCACAAACGUGCAUCCAAAACUGCAAAGCUUGAGUUAAGGAGAGGUAAGUGGAAUUCCUGGUGUAGCGGUGGAAUGCGUAGAUAUCAGGAGGAAUACCGGUGGCGAAGGCGACUUACUGGACUUAAACUGACGCUCAGGCACGAAAGCGUGGGGAGCAAACAGG